rnacentral:piRNA from 1 species
UCCAGACAAAGUGCUAAAUGGACAGAGGA